rnacentral:lncRNA from 1 species
AACAAAAAGGGUUAAGACACGAUAAGGGGUCAGAUCAAAGAAAAUAAAGCAUGCAUGAGUGAUCUGAAAUAACACAUCCAUUUUUUUAGAAAAGAGCAACAAUCAAAGGGGGAAAAAAGGGAGAAAAGAGAUCCGAUUAUAACAGUACGUGAGAUCUAUAUAUAAAGAAGAUGAAGAAAUGAAGAGGGUACCCAUGGGAAUUUGUUCACUUAGUCUGUGAAGGAAGUUGUUUGAGUCUGUAUCUGAAUUGUGUAUAUUUUGAAAAGUAGAAGUGAAUAGUGAAGGGUGAGGCUAUAGUUUGAUUUAUAAGCAUAACCAGUGAGGUUUGGGUUAUUAUAGAAUUCUGAUUCUUACGUUGAUUUUACAUGAAUGGAAUGGAAGGUAUUGAUUUGAGAAACGCAUAGGAAGAACGCUGGCAGAGGGAAGUAGCGACAAAAU